AUCAGAGUGGCAUAGUGGUUUGAGUACUGGACUAUGACUUUGGAGACCAGGGUUCAAGGCCCAGCUCUACCA